rnacentral:sRNA from 1 species
CCUCAGAAAGAGGAUGGGCCCUAGGAGCCCCAUCCAUGACGCAACACUGAUAGCCUGCAUGUGAUGACCACAGCUCUACUGGGCACAUGAAGAAAUCAAGUGCACUUCAGUACUGAGUGGGAUGCCACUGUGAGCGCCUUUUCUGAGGUGACCAAAGAAUGGUUUUGAUUAGAGACCAGAUCCCACUCUGUUGACUGGACUAGCCUCAAGUUCUUGGGUUCAGAUGAUCCUCCUGACUCAGUCUCCUGGAAACACGGACUAUAAAAUAAACUAUUGACAGGAUUUGAAGCAAUAAUUUAAAAACCACAACUUGAGAGUACCUGAAGAAUUGCACUCAGGUGUAAGACAUUCUUUACAUUCCACCAGGAUGGUGCAGCUGGGCGGAUCUUGUCCAUCGCUCUAGCUGAGAUGCCUCACACCUUGUCUUUUCAUAGUAAGCAAAAGCUCAAUGCUUACUGACGGUGAUAAGUGGUGUCAAGAAUCAUGGAAGAGUUGCUGUGAGGCUUAAGCCACCACUUGAAGGACCCUGCUUAAUAGAAGAGUUCAUGAAAAUUCAAGAUUAAGUGGAAGAAAAGUUCGAGGAGCUUUUCCACCUUGGUUGAGAGAAUAUGUGUAAAUGUGAGCUCUGACAUAAACAGAGAGCGGAAGAUGCUCUCCACUUUCCAAGGGACAUGACAACUUCAAUUAGAUAAAGCAAGCAUAUGAUGCUAUGAAUACUGCAGAUGGUGAUGUCCUGGGGAUACUGAGACAAAGGGAAAUCUGUCUAUCCAGAUAUCACUGCCUUAAAAAAAAAACCCAAGACAUUGUAAAGCUACGUAGAAGAAUUGCUGGUGAACUAUACUUACCCUUAGCCUCUUUGGGAGUGAAUUUAACAGUUAAGAGUAUAAAAUUAUUGAAAUGAAAAUGUGCCUUAAAUUUAGACUUUCAAAAGUCCAAACCCUGACUGUUGUACAAAUUAAUCUCAUACAAUAUCCAUUUAACAUGUAUGAAAAUAUCAUUCUAGUUGAGCUCAGUUCAUCCUAACUCAGGUUGAACUAGAACGCGAGCGACUACUUGAACUCUUGAGGAUAUGGGUCAAUCUCACCACUCGUUCACCUGUUCUUAAAUCCAGGAGUAGCCAAUGAAUUAAAUUAACUCGCAUGCUUGAAAAGAGUUGAGGGUCUUUAA